rnacentral:rRNA from 1 species
UACAGAGGUGGCAAGCGUUGUUCGGAAUUACUGGGCGUAAAGGGCGCGUAGGCGGCCUUCUAAGUCAGACGUGAAAUCCCCCGGCUUAACCUGGGAACUGCGUCUGAUACUGGGGGGCUUGAGUAUGGGAGAGGGAUGUAGAAUUCCAGGUGUAGCGGUGAAAUGCGUAGAUAUCUGGAGGAAUACCGGUGGCGAAGGCGGCAUCCUGGACCAUUACUGACGCUGAGGAGCGAAAGCCAGGGGAGCAAACGGG